rnacentral:tRNA from 1 species
UACUAUUAUUUUUAGAUGAAGGUAGAUUUUGAAAGUCUAUAUAGGUUAACUAGAUUAACCCUAUCGUGU